rnacentral:lncRNA from 1 species
AACAGAGACCAUUUGUGAUCUUCAACUGCAAUCUGAACUGGAUUUUACAAUGAGGAAGUUGUGAUAAGUUGUCCUUGUUAUUCUGCAGGAUCUCAUAAGGAGACCACUUGCAUUCAGAAUCUGUCAAAGGACCAUUUUCAAAGCGGAGCUUAAAUCGGCAUCACUAGCAUGUCUCACACAACACAGAAGUCCUGGGGUCGAGGCCUGGGCGCAGUCUCUGCUCUCCGUGAAUUCAGUCAACGAGGCUUUGCCUGUUCUUGCCGGUGCCCCGGGGAGAUGCAGCGGAACGGGCCGCCUCUUCUCAUUCUGUGGGAGCUCACAACCGUGUUUGGCACACGCAGGUCAGCCAGGGUGAAGGGUGAAGUGUGAGCAGGAGGAAGAACACGCCGAGGGCUGCAAGAGGAAGAAGAGGGCAGUCACUGAAAGGGCCACAGAGCUGUGCCCCAAGGUCCUGUUGGCUCUGAGUUCAGGCACUGCUGGCAGCCAGGAGGGCUCACAGCCCUGGGGCACAGGGGCAAGGUAGCGAUGCAACCGCCUGGCAGGUGCCUUGGGUGGAGACGAGUGCCCCCAUCUCAGUCACCAUGACUUCUUUAUUCAUGAGCUCCAGAUAUUAUUUUCCUGGCCAACCACAACUCCUGGUCAGGCUGGGGGUGGUCAACUUUCUUUUGCCUCAUUUAAACGCACAGUGCUGCUCCUCAAGUCAACAACCUCUCUUCAGACUCUGCCUCAAGAGGGAAGACAAGUGAUCAGAAAUCCGCACAUAGUGAGCAACAGCGGGAAAGGACUCUCCAGGAAGGAGGCGGCCAAGAAAGAGCAGUGAGUGGAGAGGCAACACGUGC